UACGGAGGGAGCUAGCGUUGUUCGGAAUUACUGGGCGUAAAGCGCGCGUAGGCGGCUUUGUAAGUUAGAGGUGAAAGCCCGGGGCUCAACCCCGGAACAGCCUUUAAGACUGCAUCGCUAGAAUCCGGGAGAGGUGAGUGGAACUCCGAGUGUAGAGGUGAAAUUCGUAGAUAUUCGGAAGAACACCAGUGGCGAAGGCGGCUCACUGGACCGGUAUUGACGCUGAGGUGCGAAAGCGUGGGGAGCAAACAGG
rnacentral:rRNA from 1 species